ACGCUCGACACCUACGUGAGGCAGCAGUCGGGAAUAUUGCGCAAUGGAGGAAACUCUGACGCAGUGACGCCGCGUAUAGGAAGAAGGUUUUCGGAUUGUAAACUAUUGUCGUUAGGGAAGAAAAAAGACAGUACCUAAGGAGGAAGCUCCGGCUAACUACGUGCCAGCAGCCGCGGUAAUCUGAGCGGGCUGGCAAGGC
rnacentral:rRNA from 1 species